UGAGGCUGGUGAAGGCUAACCAGAAGUACCUGCACCGAAGGCUUCUUGUCCGUCUUCCCCAAGGAGCGCGUUCCUCUUUUCUUCAAGGAGUGCUGGAGGAGGAUUAAAAAUAAACUGAACUAAAGCUCACAAGGGUGAUGCACAUCCAAGAGCAGUCAUGGUGCCCAGGGUUCCGCUGAGAACCCCUCCCCUCCCCAGCCAGCCCGGCCCGGCCAUGGCCAGCCUUGAACAGCACCAACAGCUGAGUUAGAGGAGUCUUAAGACCACCCAGUGACUGCAAAUGGAGAGCCAGCCUUCGAUCUUUCCCAGCAUCAGGGAAUACAGUGAACCCAUUAACCGGCUGUCUCACCCCAGGCAACCAAGGCAACCAUUCUGCUGUGUCCAGCCUUAGAGGUUCUGAUAACCUCCAACCUACUUCUGUUUCUAUGGAUCUGACUACUCUCAGUAUCUCAUCUGAGUGGAAUCAUACAAUACUUGUCCUGUCGUGUUUGGCUUAUUUCAUCGAGCACAAUGUCCUUGAGGUUCACCCGCAUUGUAGCCUGUGUUAGAAUCACUCCUCCUUAGGAUUACACAUACAAUGUAAGUACAUACUACAUAUUUCUUUGUUCACU